GGUUAACCCGUGAGGCGCCGGUGUGCGUGAGGGAGCGUGUGUGUGGCGGCGCUGCCUCGGGGCGGAGAGCUGCUUCAGGACCGAAAACGGCUUGUAAUUCUUCUUUAUACAUCGGCGUCCAAGCAAAAAGCUCGUCUGAUGAGAAAGAGCAGAAGUGCAACGUGUCGUGGAUCAGCAAUGUAACACCAUAUGGGAUCCCUUUUGUCCUCAAAGCAGCACAGCAGCCUAUGGGAAAACACUUCUUCCUUGCAGCUAAGAAUGACCCUGCAGGGCCCUUUGCAGGCGGGUUGAGAAGAUCCUCACAUCUGUUUUCCUUGCAAGGGGCUUUUGACAGCGCUGGACUUAACAGACCUUGAAUGUGAAGCUGUGUGACACGAGGCGUUGAGUUCAGCACAGGAGAAGAAGUUGGUCUGCCAAAGCCAAAAGACAGCCUGCAGCAGUUCCAAGUGGUGGGUGAGACAUAGCAACCCCGGGGAUCAUUGCUUAGCAACUGCAAACACACCGAGGAGUGAACCUCACUGCCUGGAUCCACAGCAGGCCUGAGAAGUCCCUGUUUCACCUGGAGAUCUCUCAUGCUUGAGAACUGAUGGGCAUCCAUUUAAUUCCUGUUCGCUUGCAAAGCCACACUGAAAGCAAGAAGAAUAAAGUCUGUGUUGAUACCUGCUCUAAAG
ensembl:lncRNA